CAGCAUGUGUGUUAGUGGAAGCGUCUGGAAAGGCGCGCGAUACAGGGUGACAGCCCCGUACACAAAAGCGCAUGUGCUGUGAGCUCGAUGAGUAGGGCGGGACACGUGGUAUCCUGUCUGAAUAUGGGGGGACCAUCCUCCAAGGCUAAAUACUCCUGACUGACCGAUAGUGAACCAGUACCGUGAGGGAAAGGCGAAAAGAACCCCGGCGAGGGGAGUGAAAAAGAACCUGAAACCGUGUACGUACAAGCAGUGGGAGCCCCACCACUAAGCCAGUGGUGAACUCCACAUACGCAUCCUUUGCUGAAGGCAAUGGUUAACGGAGCGAAAGCGACGUUCAACCGCAAAACAAGCAGAGGGGGCUUAGUGGUGGGGUGACUGCGUACCUUUUGUAUAAUGGGUCAGCGACUUAUAUUCUGUAGCAAGGUUAACCGUAUAGGGGAGCCGGAGGGAAACCGAGUCUUAAUUGGGCGUUAAGUUGCAGGGUAUAGACCCGAAACCCGGUGAUCUAGCCAUGGGCAGGUUGAAGGUUGGGUAACACUAACUGGAGGACCGAACCGACUAAUGUUGAAAAAUUAGCGGAUGACCUGUGGCUGGGGGUGAAAGGCCAAUCAAACCGGGAGAUAGCUGGUUCUCCCCGAAAGCUAUUUAGGUAGCGCCUCGUGAAUUCAUCUCCGGGGGUAGAGCACUGUUUCGGCUAGGGGGCCAUCCCGGCUUACCAACCCGAUGCAAACUGCGAAUACCGGAGAAUGUUAUCACGGGAGACACACGGCGGGUGCUAACGUCCGUCGUGAAGAGGGAAACAACCCAGACCGCCAGCUAAGGUCCCAAAGUCAUGGUUAAGUGGGAAACGAUGUGGGAAGGCCCAGACAGCCAGGAUGUUGGCUUAGAAGCAGCCAUCAUUUAAAGAAAGCGUAAUAGCUCACUGGUCGAGUCGGCCUGCGCGGAAGAUGUAACGGGGCUAAACCAUGCACCGAAGCUGCGGCAGCGAACGUAUCACUUAAAGCGAUUCAGCGGGUUACGAUUGACGGAGCGAAGCGACGUCAAAGCGUAUACAAAGUCGAGUCGGUUUAAGGAUACGUUCGUUGGGUAGGGGAGCGUUCUGUAAGCCUGCGAAGGUGGCCUGUGAGGGUUGCUGGAGGUAUCAGAAGUGCGAAUGCUGACAUAAGUAACGAUAAAGCGGGUGAAAAGCCCGCUCGCCGGAAGACCAAGGGUUCCUGUCCAACGUUAAUCGGGGCAGGGUGAGUCGACCCCUAAGGCGAGGCCGAAAGGCGUAGUCGAUGGGAAACGGGUUAAUAUUCCCGUACUUGGUGUUACUGCGAAGGGGGGACGGAGAAGGCUAUGUUGGCCGGGCGACGGUUGUCCCGGUUUAAGCGUGUAGGCUGGUUUUCCAGGCAAAUCCGGAAAAUCAAGGCUGAGGCGUGACGACGAGGCACUACGGUGCUGAAGCAACAAAUGCCCUGCUUCCAGGAAAAGCCUCUAAGCAUCAGGUAACACGAAAUCGUACCCCAAACCGACACAGGUGGUCAGGUAGAGAAUACCAAGGCGCUUGAGAGAACUCGGGUG
rnacentral:rRNA from 1 species